AGGCAUUGCAAAAAAUCUUCAUGGAGCUGGAUGAAGGCAAACUCCCAAGGAACUAGAAAUGUCACCUUUUGGUCAGUCAUCUUUGAAUCUGGUCCAUCAGUCUUCAGGCCUGAUCUCUCUCUUUCUUUCUCUUCUCUCCCUCUCUCUCUUCCCCCUUCUCUCUCCCCUUCUCUCUCUCUUCUCCCUCUCUCACUCCUUUAUCUUUCUCCUCUCCCUCCUCUCCCUGUGAUGUUUGCUGCACUUUUUUCCAUUUGUCAAUUGCUGGAUAAAAAACAAUACUGUGUAUUUCAUGUUGCUUUCAAUAAAAAUUGACUACUAAA